rnacentral:misc_RNA from 1 species
GAACGCACAUUGCGCCCCCUGGUAUUCCGGGGGGCAUGCCUGUCCGAGCGUCAUUGCUGCCCUCAAGCACGGCUUGUGUGUUGGGCCUCCGUCCUCCUCCCGGGGGACGGGCCCGAAAGGCAGCGGCGGCACCGCGUCCGGUCCUCGAGCGUAUGGGGCUUCGUCACCCGCUCUUGUAGGCCCGGCCGGCGCUUGCCGACACAUCAAUCUUUUUUCCAGGUUGACCUCGGAUCAGGUAGGGAUACCCGCUGAACUUAAG